rnacentral:rRNA from 1 species
UACGUAGGGGGCAAGCGUUGUCCGGAAUUAUUGGGCGUAAAGAGCUCGUAGGCGGUUUGUCGCGUCUGCUGUGAAAACUCGGGGCUUAACCCCGGGCCUGCAGUGGGUACGGGCAGACUAGAGUGCGGUAGGGGAGACUGGAAUUCCUGGUGUAGCGGUGAAAUGCGCAGAUAUCAGGAGGAACACCAAUUGCGAAGGCAGCUCGCUGGGACGUUACUGACGCUGAGACGCGAAAGCGUGGGGAGCAAACAGG